rnacentral:lncRNA from 1 species
GAAAGCUAAUAAAAGUUACCCAUCACUAUUUACUAUUUACAUUUUCCUUUUAAAAUCUGUGUAUAAACAAUGCAUAUAUUUAUUUUGUUAGUAUACCAUAACUCACUCACACUGGGUAGCUGUUGUGGACUGCUUACAAAGAGCUGGCAUCAGGCCACACACUUUGCAUUAAUAUUCUCUUUUACUCAUCACCAGGACCUCAUAAAAGUAGUUACUAUUAUUACUGCCAUCUUACAUAUGAGGAAACUGAAUGUCAGAAAGUUUUUGUAAUUUGCUCAAGGUCCUACAUUUAGAAAGUGUGUGGGCAGCUAUGCACCAAGUUUGACUCAAGGCAUAAAGCCCAUUUUCUGUAUCAGUAUCCAGACUAGCUUUUUGUCAUUUGCCAUUAGGUUGUGUGAAUUUCUUCAUAUUAUUUAGGCAUUCUUGGUAAAAUGAUUUUUAAGGACUAUGGAAAUCUCUUUUUCAGGCAUACCAUAAUUAUUUUAACCAUGUCUCCACUGUUGGACAUUUAGGUUGUUUCCAACUUUGAAGGAAAGAACCAAGUAUGAGUCAUCUUUGUAUCUCCAGAAUCUAGCAAAAUGUCUAGCACUUUAUUCAGGCCCAAAAUAUCAGUUCACUGACUAACUGGAGAGAAGAAAAGGAGCUUCAUCAAAGGUAAAUGGCAUAUAAGAUAGAAUAGAGGUAGAGCAUGUUUGAGGGUGUGGGGCGGGAAGAGAAGAAUCUUACUCAAACAGGAUCAGAGGGAAUGCAUAUUGGAAGAGCUGGUCUCACCACACUUUUUGAGUUUUGAAGAACAAAUUCAUUCAUAUUAACUAUAUAAGAAAGUAAUUAUCAAUAAGGAAAGUAGUGAUUUAGAUAGAAAUUAAAGUCUAAAACUUACAGGCUUUCUCUUAAUAUACCUCUACUAUUUUAAGUCUGUUUGGGGUUGUGUAUUUUCUUUCCCUUCAAUAUCAAUUGGCCCUUGUAAUCUUUACUCUUUUUGCUCCUGUAUUUUCUUUACCCCAUGGGUUGGUUAUCUCAGCAUUUCAACUUGUUCUUGGCUAAUUAUUGCCCAUUUGUUCUUUCUAUCCUGUAACCAUUCCUAUUUUGCUUCCAGAGCUAAAAUGCCAAUGUACACUUGAAAGAUUAACAUAACCAGAAGAAUGGUCCUGAGAAAUAAUCUUGGAAGGAGAGGGGAGAUGUGACUGAAUACGCCAGAAUAGGAUUUUCAGUCUAUCCACAAUAGGUGAUAGUUAUAUCACCUUUGAAAAUGUUCCUUUAAAAAUGUUAUUUCCUGUGCUUGAAAAACACGAUUUUAAAAAGUCACUAUUCUGUUCUUCCACAAUAACCUGGGUAUACCUCUAGCAUAACAUCUAAACUUCCUUAUUGUAAUUGUCUACUUACUUUUUUUAAACUAUUUUCUUUUUUAAAGAUUUUUUUUAAGUUGUCAAUGGACUGGUAUUUUAUGUAUUUAUAUGUGGUGGUGGUAAUCGAACCCAGUGCCUCAUGCAUGACAGGCAAGUGUGCCACUGCUGAGCUACAACCCCAGCCAUAUAACUGUUUACUUUUUUAAGAAAAAGUGUUUCAGUGGCAAUGAAAAAUGAAUACAUGAAUAUGUCAGUAAAAAUUUAUUUGGAUCAUACAGCAUCAAUUUAUUCAUUGAUACAACAAUAUUUUGUACUAUUUUCCAACUUAUUAGGGAAGCACAGAUAUGUAGGUUGUAAGAAUGGACAGGUUCUGCUAAUUAUCCAUUGAUAGAUCCCAAAACUUUGUGGCCAAUGACAGAAAUUCUCAUGUUAAUAUACCUUUAGGUAAAAGAACUCUUUAAGCUUCCAAGAGAAAGGGGAAAAAAGUAAAAGCAAAAAUGAUAUAACCAGGAAUGCUAGAGUUACCCAGCACCCAAAGUACCCAAAACAACUUGACUACUAGAUUUGGUCAUAGUUGAACUUUUGGUGGUACCACAUCAGCAGACCUGAAGGAGGAAUUCAGAAGCAAGAUAAACAUUUUUGCCACCUGCUUCCUGAGUGACAUACCUUUUAAUGAACAAAAGAAUGUUUUUCAGUGUUCUGAAAAAUUGGCAUACUAAUAAACACCAGCUAUCUUAUCUUAUUCAUUGCUGUUUCCCAUAGAAAUGAAGCAGUCAGUUCCAACCUUUUUUUUUUUUUUUUCGUCUUGAGAUAGGAGUGUAUCUAAAAAAACUUUACAGGGCAAAAAAAGAAAAAAAAUAAGAUUCUCUCAAUUUUUUUUUAAUUUGCCGAAUUUUUAUUUUUUUCAAAUGUUUUUCACUUGUUAAAACACAUGUAAGAUACUACAUGGUGUCAAGUAUGAGAGACCAAAACAAAAUAAAACAAAAGCACCAUCUCUGUGACUAGACUACACCUUCUAGGAAGGUACAAUGUAUUCAUUUCAAUAAUUUCUUUUUUUGUUGUUUUAACCAUUUUUAUUCAAAUGUAUUAAUUACAGUACAUGCAAAUGUAUUAACUACAUAUUCAUUUGUGGUGCAAUUAUCACUACUGUUUCCAAAAACUUUUAUCACCCCUAAUGGAAACUUUGUACCCAUGAAGUGAGAAAUCUUCAUCCCCUUUCCCCCUCACCCAUGAUGACCUCUACUUUCUUUCUCUAUGGAUUUCCCAGUUCUAGGUAUUUCAUAUAAGUGCAAUCACAUGGGAGUUUAAGCUUUUCUAUUUUUCACUGUUAUCUUCUGCCUGUUGGUUCUUGUUCUGAGGCUUGUUUCCUUAUGACCAUAAGAUGAUAUAAGAUAAUGUGUCAUCAGUUUGAAGAAAAGGAGUCAUUUUCUUCUUUGGGUCUAUUUUUAUCAGCUAGGAGAAAUUUCUGCUGGAUGCCCCCAAGCAGGCUUCCUGUCAUGUCACAUUGACCAAAAUUGUCUCACAUAUUCAUGCCCAAACCAAUUACUGGCAAGGGAAAUGGAAUGAUCAUAAUUGACACCCUUCAAGAUCACUAGGGUUGGGAGAGGUUCUGCAUCUUUUAAACCACAAGGCUACCCAAGACCUGAGCAAAUAGAUUCUGGGCAAGGACCAAGCUAGGGGAUGGGCUACAGAGAAAAGUGGCUCCUACCUAGGGAAUGAAUAAUAUGCCAUAUAAGUCCUCAGCAGAGCAUAACCAGAUCCAUAAACACAAGAAGCACAGUGGUCUGGGCCAUUUAAUGCAGGGCAAAUAGCUCCACAUAUAUUAUUUAUUCUAAGUGAUUUAUUAUGUAGCUGCCUGGGGUGGCAAAUAGGACAUGUGCUUUGGAAUCAGCUAGCCAGUAUUAGCAAUGACUUAACUUUAGAAAAAUUCUCUACAAAUUCAACUUGGUCCCUUAAAAGAUGGGGAUAAUAGUAUCUACCUAAAAUAGCUAUUAUCAGAAUUUAGUUCCAUGAUGAUAUAAAUUGCCGAGAACUCUGUAGGCAUGCUGUGAGUAUAUAUUUCUUUUCCCCUUUUAUUGAAGUUUCAAUAAUUCAUAAUGAUAAUUUGAAGUCAUCAAUAAAGUGGUAAACUUUAUUCUGCAUUUUAUGCUUGAAAGCUAGAUAUUAU